rnacentral:rRNA from 1 species
UACGGGGGGAGCAAGCGUUGUUCGGAUUUACUGGGCGUAAAGGGCGCGUAGGCGGCCACCGCAAGUCAAUUGUGAAAUCUCCGGGCUUAACUCGGAAAGGUCAACUGAUACUGCGGGGCUAGAGUGCGGAAGGGGCAACUGGAAUUCUCGGUGUAGCGGUGAAAUGCGUAGAUAUCGAGAGGAACACCUGCGGCGAAAGCGGGUUGCUGGGCCGACACUGACGCUGAUGCGCGAAAGCCAGGGGAGCAAACGGG